rnacentral:rRNA from 1 species
UACGAAGGGGGCUAGCGUUGCUCGGAAUCACUGGGCGUAAAGCGCACGUAGGCGGCUUUCUAAGUCAGGGGUGAAAUCCUGGAGCUCAACUCCAGAACUGCCUUUGAUACUGGAGAGCUUGAGUCCGGGAGAGGUGAGUGGAACUCCGAGUGUAGAGGUGAAAUUCGUAGAUAUUCGGAAGAACACCAGUGGCGAAGGCGGCUCCCUGGCCCGGUACUGACGCUGAUGUGCGAAAGCGUGGGGAGCAAACAGG